UAUCUCGGCUCUCGCAUCGAUGAAGAACGUAGCGAAAUGCGAUACUUGGUGUGAAUUGCAGAAUCCCGUGAACCAUCGAGUCUUUGAACGCAAGUUGCGCCCGAAGCCAUUCGGCCGAGGGCACGUCUGCCUGGGCGUCACGCAU
rnacentral:rRNA from 1 species